rnacentral:lncRNA from 1 species
AAAAUGGACAUUUUUAUUUUCAUUUUACAGAUGAGCAAACUGAGGCUUGCUGAAGUUAUUAUUUCUCUAAGUCAUACAGCCCGUAAGAGAGACAGGUGAGAUCUGAGCCCAUGACCAUCAUGUUCUUCUUGGUUGAUGCCAUUCCCCCCCACCCACUUCCCUGGGAGGAGUCAGGUCACAUCAACCCCUUGCCCAGGCUCCCGCUGGCUUCUCCAUUGCUCUGUUUAAUCUGGACUGAUCAGAAAUGACAGGAGAAACAAAGGUCCGGGAACAGAUUUACUGCAGAAAAUAAAGCCAGCCGAUUAUGGCUGUGGCCUCAGCAUCUUGAAGUGACAGAGAGAAUAGAUGGGCUGGUGGAAAACGGUAUCAAGUCCCCUAGGAAACGUAAGUCACAUGGAGAAGAAGAAAGGGCCCUGGAUCUUCAGGAGCCCCAUGGGCUGUGUGAGCAUCCAGCUGUGGCUGGAAAUGUCACUGUGCCAGGGAGGAGGCCAUGGCAUCCGUGGUCCCUAAGUCCUGGACUCCAAGGGCCCAGCUGGAGUAGCGGCCUAGCCUGUCCCAUCGAUGCAGCUGGCAAGGCUCUGCCCCAGGAUGCAGCAGGGUCCAGGACCCAUAGAGGUGCCAAUGACAUGAUAGCUCCAUUGUUCCCCUAAAAGGCUGGCCCAGCACCUCAGGGACCCCAGGGUCAGUGCUCAGUGAGAAAGACAGGAAGCAGCCAAGGGAAGGUGAUAGGGCAGGAAGCCAGGAAGGACUGCUCCUCAAUCUGCAUAUGAACACAGGGAAAGGAUGGUGGCUCUUAG